rnacentral:misc_RNA from 1 species
GAUGAAGAACGUAGCGAAAUGCGAUAAGUAGUGUGAAUUGCAGAAUUCAGUGAAUCAUCGAAUCUUUGAACGCACAUUGCGCCCGCCAGUAUUCUGGCGGGCAUGCCUGUUCGAGCGUCAUUUCAACCAUCAAGCCCCCGGCUUGUGUUGGGGACCUGCGGCUGCCGCAGGCCCUGAAAACCAGUGGCGGGCUCGCUAGUCACUCCGAGCGUAGUAAUACAUCUCGCUCAGGGCGUGCUGCGGGUUCCGGCCGUUAAAAGCCUUAUUUACCCAAGGUUGACCUCGGAUCAGGUAGGAAGACCCGCUGAACUUAAGCAUAUCAAUAAGCGGAGGA